rnacentral:miRNA from 1 species
AAUCAGGACAGUUCUGU